CAUAUUUUUGUUUAAUUUUGUAUCGAAAGUCAUCAUUAACAUAAAUGAAUUAUUUUUUUUAUCUGAAAGACAAUAUUUAAAAUAAUUCCAAUAAAAUUUUGGUUCUGGUUAAGAAUGUCCUUAUAAUUACUCAAAAUUUGCCAAAAUUGAAGUGUUUAACCAUAUAUAAGGGAGAAAUUCAAAGUAAAUGAGGCACAGCAUAUUUGGCCAAUUAGCUUAAUUUACAGACAGUCUGAAUGAUUUGAGGCACACCAUAGCAUGUGUUGUGAUAUUCUGCACUUGUAUACCAAAAAUCUAAAGAGAUAUCUUUCAAAAUAAUGAAUUGGUUCCCGAAGAUGAUGCUAAAAACGUCAGGAGUGCAACACCUUUUUGUGACAUAAAAAAGAGACUUUUUCAAAGUCUUGCCGUUUAAAAUAAAAAGAUUUAUAUCAAAAAGCAGCUGUUGUGUCAAAAACUUCAAUGUAUAUAUAUACCUUUAAUUUCCAAUAAUGAUUAAACAUUUGAGGCGUAGGAUGUCACUUUUUUCUCAAUUAAAAAAAGGUGUAGUACCCUGUCAGGAGUGCAACACACAAAAUGACCAAUUUGUAUAGAAUUGUGUAUUUUUAAUUCAAGGACGGCAAUGUAUGUAUAAAAGACAUUUAAACUUUUAAAACAAUAUCUCAUCUGUCCAAUCAAACAAAUAUUUCAAUGCUGGAACUCACAUCCAAUUUGUGAGAGCCAAUUUUAUGAGCACACCCUACAUGGUCAGGAGUGCAACAUGUUGACUAUUGACAGUUACACCAGUCAAAAAUAAUCACUUCAAUAUAAACUUUUGCUUUAUUUUUCUGGAGAAGCAGUAUAUGAGACUAGAUUCCUGUAAAAAAGAUGAUAGAAAAAGAUUUUAUUUUCCAAUAGGGCUAACUUAUUCUAUGUCAGGAGUGCAACACUUUUAUAAUACAAUUAUUUAGCUUUGAUACUUUUAUAUGUAAAUCAUUGUCAAUGCAUUAAUUUUUACCAUUCAUACC
rnacentral:lncRNA from 1 species